rnacentral:rRNA from 1 species
GUAGUUAGCCGGUGCUUCCUUCUCGGGUACCGUCAUUAUCGUCCCCGAUGACAGGAGUUUACGAUCCGAAGACCUUCUUCCUUCACGCGGCGUUGCUGGGUCAGGGUUUCCCCCAUUGUCCAAUAUUCCCCACUGCUGCCUCCCGUAGGAGUCUGGGCCGUGUCUCAGUCCCAGUGUGGCUGAUCAUCCUCUCAGACCAGCUACGGAUCGUCGCCUUGGUGAGCCGUUACCUCACCAACCAGCUAAUCCGACAUAGGCUCAUCCGAUAGCGCGAGGCCCGAAGGUCCCCCGCUUUCCCCCGUAGGGCGUAUGCGGUAUUAGCCUGGGUUUCCCCAGGUUAUCCCCCACUACCGGGCAGAUUCCUAUGCAUUACUCACCCGUCCGCCGCUCGCCACCAGGGAGCAAGCUCCCCGUGCUGCCGCUCGACUUGCAUGUGUUAGGCCUGCCGCCAGCGUUCAAUCUGAGCCAUGAUCAAACUCUGA